rnacentral:rRNA from 1 species
AGCGAACGCUGGCGGCAGGCCUAACACAUGCAAGUCGAACGAACUCUUCGGAGUUGGUCGCGGACGGGUGAGGAACACGUGGGAACGUGCCGUUUGGGUCGGUAUAACGCAGGGAAACUUGUGCUAAUAUCGAAUGUGCCCUUCGGGGGAAAGAUUUAUCGCCAUUAGAGUGGCCCGCGUCUGAUUCGCUAGUUGGAAAGGUAAGGGCUCACAAAGUGGACGAUCAGUAGCUGGUCUGAGAGGAUGACCAGCAAAAUUGAGAUUGGGACACGGCCCAACUCCCUACGGGAGGAGGAAGUGGGGAAACUGGCGCAAUGGGCGAAAGCCGGAGGCAGCAAGGCCGGGGGAAUGAUGAAGGUCUUAGGAUUGUAAAAUUCUUUCACCGGGGACGUUAAGGACGGUACCCGAGGAAGAAGCCCGGGCUAACAUCGU